rnacentral:lncRNA from 1 species
GUCUAAUUCAGUUUAAUUCUAAAAUGCAUACUUUUUUACUGUUAAUUUUCAGUAGAUAAUGUAAAGAUGGACCGUAAAUUUGAUUCAAAUCUAUACACAUACGUACUAGUACUUGAAAUGCCAAUUUCUGAAAUAUAACAAUUAUGACACUUUAAUUAAACAAAGUUUUUGUUUAACAAUAACUUAAAUCUUAACAAUUUAUGGUGACCAUAAUUUUUUUUGGUUGACAAUUCUUAUUUCAUUGCUGCAAGCACAAUUAUUAGACUUGUGGAUUACUAAGAAAACAAGACCUGUAUAGUUACUGUAUUUAGUUUACUGGUUCUUAACUUGAUGUAUAAAAUAUGAAUACAGGAUCUACGAGAAUAUCCACUGACAUCAGAGGGUGUUUUAUUUGGUAGGAAUUACGUUUUGACAUACAUCCUUUGUUUUAAAGGUUUAUAUUUACAUUUAAUGAACGAAGAAAAUAGUGUGGUUUUGUCAUAAUGAUUUGAUAGUUUAGUAAUUAUACAAACUUAUAGAAACAGAAAAGUUACACCAGUGUAUUAUAACCUACCUACUCUUAAGUCUGAGUUUACAAUGUAAUGUUUUAAUUGUUUAUAAUGUAUCAUCUUUUCCGUUACUUGCGGUUUUGUGUAACCUUUUGUAUAACUCCCCAACAUUAUUUUUGUUUUCCUGUACACAUUUACUUACAAGUUUACCUACCAACACUUUAUCCCCAAUCAAUAGUUCCAACUGACUAUGAAUAACAUACAGUGGAUUUUGUUUUAACUGAGAUUAACAUUUGCACUGAAUUAUAAACUAAUGUGUUGAAUUAAAA